GGGAUUGCCCUAGUAACGGCGAGUAAAGCGGCAACAGCUCAAAUUUGAAAUCUGGCGCAAGCCCGAGUUGUAAUUUGUAGAGGAUGCUUCUGGGUAGCGACCGAUCUAAGUUCCUUGGAACAGGACGUCAUAGAGGGUGAGAAUCCCGUAUGUGACCGGCCCGCACCCUUUACGUAGCUCCUUCGACGAGUCGAGUUGUUUGGGAAUGCAGCUCUAAAUGGGAGGUAAAUUUCUUCUAAAGCUAAAUACCGGCCAGAGACCGAUAGCGCACAAGUAGAGUGAUCGAAAGAUGAAAAGUACUUUGGAAAGAGAGUUAAAAAGCACGUGAAAUUGUUGAAAGGGAAGCGCCUGCAACCAGACUUCGCGGCAGUGUUCCGCCGGUCUUCUGACCGGUUCAUUCUCUGUCGCGAGGCCAUCAUCGUCUGGGCCCGCCGGAUAAGACCUGAGGAAUGUGGCUCCCCCUCGGGGGAGUGUUAUAGCCUCUGGUGAUGCGGCGUGGCUCGGGCGAGGUCCGCGCUUCGGCAAGGAUGAUGGCGUAAUGGUUGUCGGCGGCCCGUCUUGAAACACGGACCAAGGAGUCUAACAUCUAUGCGAGUGUUCGGGUGUCAAACCCCUACGCGUAAUGAAAGUGAACGGAGGUGGGAACCGCAAGGUGCACCAUCGACCGAUCCUGAUGUCCUCGGAUGGAUUUGAGUAAGAGCAUAGCUGUUGGGACCCGAAAGAUGGUGAACUAUGCCUGAAUAGGGUGAAGCCAGAGGAAACUCUGGUGGAGGCUCGCAGCGGUUCUGACGUGCAAAUCGAUCGUCAAAUUUGGGUAUAGGGGCG
rnacentral:rRNA from 2 species